AUGAGGUCUUCUGCUUGUGCGGCAGCACUGGCGUGUUUCAGCUAUCCACGUACAAGGACAACCAUCACUGCUGGCGUGUUUCAGCUAUCCACAGCAAGGACAACCAUGAAGCAGAAGGGAAGGUACAGCAACAAGAUAAGAAAGGAUCUUCAGUGGAUUUGUUCUGGAACUAGAGCUCAGGGUAUCUACAAACUAAGAGCAUUGAGAAGAGAAACUCUGUUCUGGAUCAAUCUCCUGUACAGAAGUUCCACUCCGCUCUCAAGAUCUUCGAUACUGCACUCCAAUGCCCGCAAUUGCUCCUCUUCGCACAGAACUUUGCUCUUCUGCAAUGUUUUGGAGACAAGAGACCACUUGGGCAUCUCAAUUUGCUUCAACAAGAUGCAGGAUGUGGAUUCGAGAAGUGAAAUGACGGAUGUAUGCCUUGACUUGGCAAGUUGUGUCCUCUCCUCUCUUGAGAACCAACAAGAGCUCUUGGACAGUCAUCUUCAGCUCCAUCAAGGUCUCCUGCAUGGCGUUGCAGAGGUCGAGCACGACGAGGGACCGCCCUAG
rnacentral:rRNA from 1 species